rnacentral:rRNA from 1 species
UACGAAGGGGGCUAGCGUUGCUCGGAAUUACUGGGCGUAAAGGGAGCGUAGGCGGACAUUUAAGUCAGGGGUGAAAUCCCAGAGCUCAACUCUGGAACUGCCUUUGAUACUGGGUGUCUUGAGUGUGAUAGAGGUAUGUGGAACUCCGAGUGUAGAGGUGAAAGUCGUAGAUAUUCGGAAGAACACCAGUGGCGAAGGCGACUGACUGGACAAGUAGUGACGCUGAGGUGCGAAAGCGUGGGGAGCAAACAGG